UGAUGGCUCAGUGAGGCCUUGGGACUGGCUCAGGAGGGUUGGCAACGACCCCCCAGAGCCGGAAACUUGGUCAAACUCGGUCAUUUAGAGGAAGUAAAAGUCGUAACAAGGUUUCCGUAGGUGAACCUGCGGAAGGAUCAUUACUGAGUGAGGGCCCUCUGGGUCCAACCUCCCACCCGUGUUUAUUGUACCUUGUUGCUUCGGUGCGCCCGCCUCACGGCCGCCGGGGGGCUUCUGCCCCCGGGUCCGCGCGCACCGGAGACACUAUUGAACUCUGUCUGAAGAUUGCAGUCUGAGCAUAAACUAAAUAAGUUAAAACUUUCAACAACGGAUCUCUUGGUUCCGGCAUCGAUGAAGAACGCAGCGAAAUGCGAUAACUAAUGUGAAUUGCAGAAUUCAGUGAAUCAUCGAGUCUUUGAACGCACAUUGCGCCCCCUGGUAUUCCGGGGGGCAUGCCUGUCCGAGCGUCAUUGCUGCCCUCAAGCACGGCUUGUGUGUUGGGCUCCGUCCCCCCGGGGACGGGUCCGAAAGGCAGCGGCGGCACCGAGUCCGGUCCUCGAGCGUAUGGGGCUUUGUCACCCGCUCUGUAGGCCCGGCCGGCGCCAGCCGACAACCAAUCAUCCUUUUUUCAGGUUGACCUCGGAUCAGGUAGGGAUACCCGCUGAACUUAAGCAUAUCAAUAAGCGGAGGAAAAGAAACCAACAGGGAUUACCUCAGUAACGGCGAGUGAAGCGGUAAGAGCUCAAAUUUGAAAGCUGGCUCCUUCGGGGUCCGCAUUGUAAUUUGCAGAGGAUGUUUCGGGAGCAGCCCCCAUCUAAGUGUCCUGGAACGGACCGUCAUAGAGGGUGAGAAUCCCGUAUGGGAUGGGGGUCUGCGCU
rnacentral:rRNA from 1 species